rnacentral:rRNA from 1 species
GACGAACGCUGGCGGCGUGCUUAACACAUGCAAGUCGAACGGAAAGGCCCUGCUUUUGUGGGGUGCUCGAGUGGCGAACGGGUGAGUAACACGUGAGUAACCUGCCCUUGACUUUGGGAUAACUUCAGGAAACUGGGGCUAAUACCGGAUAGGAGCUCCUGCUGCAUGGUGGGGGUUGGAAAGUUUCGGCGGUUGGGGAUGGACUCGCGGCUUAUCGGCUUGUUGGUGGGGUAGUGGCUUACCAAGGCUUUGACGGGUAGCCGGCCUGGGAGGGUGACCGGGCACAUUGGGACUGCGAUACGGACCAGAAUCCUACGGGACGCAGCAGUGGGGAAUAUUGCGCAAUGGGCGGACGCCUGAUACAGCAACGCCGCGUGCGGGAUGACGGCCUUCGGGUUGUAAACCGCUUUCGCAUGUGACGAAGCGUGAGUGACGGUAAUGGGUAAAGAAGCACCGGCUAACUACGUG